AUUGAACGCUGGCGGAAUGCUUUACACAUGCAAGUCGAACGGUAGAGGGGGCAACCCCUUGAGAGUGGCGAACGGGUGAGUAAUAUAUCGGAACGUGCCCAGUCGUGGGGAUAACGUAGCGAAAGUUACGCUAAUACCGCAUACGAUCUAAGGAUGAAAGCGGGGGAUCGCAAGACCUCGCGCGAUUGGAGCGGCCGAUAUCAGAUUAGGUAGUUGGUGGGGUAAAGGCUCACCAAGCCAACGAUCUGUAGCUGGUCUGAGAGGACGACCAGCCACACUGGAACUGAGGACACGGUCCAGACUCCUACGGGAGGCAGCAGUGGGGAAUUUUGGACAAUGGACGCAAGUCUGAUCCAGCCAUUCCGCGUGCAGGAUGAAGGCCCUCGGGUUGUAAACUGCUUUUUGUACGGAACGAAAGGUUUCUCUUAAUACGAGGAGCUCAUGACGGUACCGUAAGAAUAAGCACCGGCUAACUACGUG
rnacentral:rRNA from 1 species